rnacentral:rRNA from 1 species
GCAGAGCAUCCUACGGGAGGCAGCAGUGGGGAAUAUUGCACAAUGGGCGCAAGCCUGAUGCAGCCAUGCCGCGUGUAUGAAGAAGGCCUUCGGGUUGUAAAGUACUUUCAGCAGUGAGGAAGGUGGGUAUGUUAAUAGCAUAUUCAUUUGACGUUAGCUGCAGAAGAAGCACCGGCUAACUCCGUGCCAGCAGCCGCGGUAAUACGGAGGGUGCGAGCGUUAAUCGGAAUUACUGGGCGUAAAGCGCAUGCAGGUGGUUGUUAAGUCAGAUGUGAAAGCCCGGGGCUCAACCUCGGAAUUGCAUUUGAAACUGGCAAACUAGAGUACUGUAGAGGGGGUAGAAUUUCAGGUGUAGCGGUGAAAUGCGUAGAGAUCUGAAGGAAUACCGGUGGCGAAGGCGGCCCCCUGGACAGAUACUGACACUCAGAUGCGAAAGCGUGGGGAGCAAACAGGAUUAGAUACCCUGAUAG